rnacentral:rRNA from 1 species
AUGGGCCUCGGCCCACCCGGACCAGCCAGCCUAGCUCCCCCCUCGGUCGCCUUCCACCUUGCUACACGGGAAGCCAACCGAGCGGGCGCGUGCUCCCGCCGGACCCCGUUGCCGGCAACGACGCGUGAGGGGAUAAGGGCGUCCCUUCGGCGCCUCGGUCUCCCCUCCCCCACCUACCGCCACACCCACUCGCCCACUUGCCUGCUCUCUCCCUCCUCUCGCUCGCUCCAUUUUCCCCAAAAAACGGCCGAGCGCCAUCGUCGCCAUCUCCGCAUCGAUUCUCCGGCCACCAGCCGCCCUGCGCCGCCCGGAGGCGUCCAGGAGGACGGCUGUCAUCGUCUGCGUCGGUUCCCCCCUUUGGUUCGAGCCCGGGAGCUCCCCUUCGCCGGAUCGGGCUGCUCCCUCCGCCUCGGCCUCCGCCAUCCCGCCACCCCAAGUCGUCGCAUCGGGUCGUCCCCGGCCCUGUACGAGCUCACCAUCGGCCCUCCCGCGACCUCGAGACCGCUGCUGAUGCCCCUGUGA